CCUCCCACUCCCCAAGUAGCACUCCAGUCUGCAGCCUCACGCUGCCUCCUCCCUCCCCUCUCGUUGGCCUCCACGCUGGUCCAGGCCACCGCAGGGUCAUCUGGACAGCUGCUCCAGCCUCAUCGCCCGGCCUCCAUCCACUGCCUCACUGCCCCGCUGCCAAGAAGGCCUUCCCAAACACACACGUUGCUCAUCGCUCCCACUGACGGAAAUGAGCUGCUUAGCGCGUUUACUCCAUCAGACCCAGCUCCGCGAGGAGAGGAGUCCGUCCUGAACGGGGCCCUGCGCACUAAGAUGUUCCCCAGGGUCCCUAGGUUACUGAAUCAGCCCAGGAUUCAGGGCCUCCAGGGCCACAGCGGACGCCCAUCUCCUGAGCUCUCUUCCGGCUCCACGUUGAAGGGGACAGGAAGUGAGAGCCCCGCGCAGCCUGCCCCGGUGCUCAACACCGGAGGCUGGGGGAGACCCGCUGGGGUCCAGGACCAGCCCGCCCCUUCCUCCUUUAGUUUUUCACCCACAAGCCCCGAUCGGCUCCUACUGUACUAACGGACGCUGGCUCCGCACUUUGUAAUACCGCAAGCAACACGACUCCCACGGACCAGUUCGUAUACCGCCCUCAGGCUCUCCCCAGACCCGAACCGGCGUCCGGUCGAGGACAGGCACACCUGCCACUCGGGCGGUGAACCCCCGCUCCCUCCCUGGGCGGCAUCCACAGCCGCAGCGCCCCGGCUCACUUGGCCUUGAAGCGGCCCACUCCCGCCACGGGUUCCGCCAUGUCGCCGCCGCCGCCUCCCCCGCCUCCGCCGCCGCCGCGUGAGGGAAACACGGGCGCCACUCCUCACUGCCGGCGCGCCGCAGAUGGCGUCACUGGGCACGACCCCUGUGACAUCACCAGCUGCGCGCUCGGCGCCAUCUUUGCUGUGGGCAGCCCCUGCUGUGUCAGGAAGCGGAAGCUGGUAGAGGCGUCUCUGGCUUGUCUCUGGCUUGGAGGAACGGGCGUAGAGCCGCGUGGGGGUGGCGGGUCCUCCGGGGGCAGCUGAGUGCAGGGCCUGGCGUUUGCCCGCUGUUGGUUUUUUAGUGAAGUUUUUAAAAAAGGAGUCGUUGGAAAUGUUUACUGAAGUCAUCCCGAGGCUCUUGGCCCUCGGCCUUCUGGGAUUUGGGUACAAGGCCGUCAGGUCUCCUGGACGGCUACGAUAGAUAUGGAGGGUAAAUGAAUAAAUCGGGUAACUUCA